AUUGAACGCUGGCGGCAGGCCUAACACAUGCAAGUCGAGCGGAUGAAGGGAGCUUGCUCCUGGAUUCAGCGGCGGACGGGUGAGUAAUGCCUAGGAAUCUGCCUGGUAGUGGGGGAUAACGUCCGGAAACGGGCGCUAAUACCGCAUACGUCCUGAGGGAGAAAGUGGGGGAUCUUCGGACCUCACGCUAUCAUAUGAGCCUAGGUCGGAUUAGCUAGUUGGUGGGGUAAAGGCCUACCAAGGCUACGAUCCGUAACUGGUCUGAGAGGAUGAUCAGUCACGCUGGAAGUGAGACACGGUGCAGACUCCUACGGUAAGCAGCAGUGGUGAAUUUUGGAGAAUGAGCGAAAGCCUGAUCCAGCCAUGCCGGGUGUGUGAAGAAGGUCUUCGGAUUGUAAAGCACUUUAAGUUGGAGGGAAGGGCAGUAAGUUAAUACCUUGCUGUUUUGACGUUACCAACAGAAUAAGCACCGGCUAACUUCGUG
rnacentral:rRNA from 1 species